rnacentral:rRNA from 1 species
CAGACUCNUACGGGAGGCAGCAGUGGGGAAUUUUGCGCAAUGGGCUAACGCCCGACGCAGCAACGCCGCGUGGAGGAUGAAGGUCUUUGGAUUGUAAACUCCUGUCAGCAGGGAAAAAGCGACCUGACCUCAUACGUCAGGGAGUUGAUUGUACCUGCAGAGGAAGCCCCGGCUAACUCUGUGCCAGCAGCCGCGGUAAUACAGAGGGGGCAAGCGUUAUUCGGAAUUAUUGGGCGUAAAGGGCGCGUAGGCGGCUUGGCAAGUGGAAGGUGAAAUCCCUCGGCUCAACUGAGGAACUGCCUUCCAGACUGCUUAGCUUGAGACCAGGAGAGGUGAGUGGAAUUCCCAGUGUAGCGGUGAAAUGCGUAGAUAUUGGGAGGAACACCAGUGGCGAAGGCGGCUCACUGGACUGGUACUGAC